UUAUUCGACCAUGCUGGUCAUUUAUGAACAUUUGAACAUCUUGGCCAUGUUCUGUUAUAAUCUCCACCCGGCACAGCCAGAAGAGGACUGGCCACCCCACAUAGCCUGGUUCCUCUCUAGGUUUCUUCCUAGGUUUUGGCCUUUCUAGGGAGUUUUUCCUAGCCACCGUGCUUCUACACCUGCAUUGCUUGCUGUUUGGGGUUUUAGGCUGGGUUUCUGUACAGCACUUUGAGAUAUCAGCUGAUGUACGAAGGGCUAUAUAAAUACAUUUGAUUUGAUUUGAUAUUCACACAGCUACUCACGGUUCACUGAAUAACUGUUCCCUGAUAUUCACACAGCUACUCAAUGUUCCCUGAUAUUCACACAGCUACUCAAUGUUCCCUGAUAUUCACACAGCUACACAUGUUCCCUGAUAUUCACACAGCUACUCACUGUUCCCUGAUAUUCACACAGCUACUCACUGUUCCCUGAUAUUCACACAGCUACACAAUGUUCCCUGAUAUUCACACUGUUCCCUGAUAUUCACACAGCUACUAAUACAACACAUUGAAUUAACUACACCCUGUUCACUAUAAUAGAAUACUGCAUUUUCCUUUCUUCAGGGGCCAAUCAGAUGUGUCUAAACCUACUGCCAAGUUACCAGGUUGACUGAACAACGUUGUCAUCAAACCAAUAAUUAGUGGGCCGGGAUCAGUUUAAAAACGGCCCGCGACACGGUUUGUGAAAUUAUAUCAAAAUGCGCGAAAUCAAGCAGGAAGAGAGAAAAGUUGGGUCAGGUUUGUUUAACCGUCGUGAAGUGGUUUUUCCUCUCUGGCAUUGCUGCAUGACAGCGAACUAGCAGAGCCAAUCAGACUGGCCUUGUGCUCCUGGUUAUACCAGGGAUGAAAUGAUAUCCAAUGCAUUAACUUUGCUCUGCUCCAAUGAGUCAAAUGUAACAUCAGAAGACCCAUCAGGGACUGAACCCUCCCUCUCCAUCACAGAUAAACUAUAUGUAAAACUGAUGGGGAAAUAGAUACACAGGAAGUGCUGACAGAGAAGCAGGUGAGUGAUGGCUGGAAGGAGAAGCAGGUGAGUGAUGGCUGGGAGGAGACGCAGCUGACAGAGAGAAGCAGGUGAGUGAUGGCUGGAAGGAGAAGCAGGUGAGUGAUGGCUGGAAGGAGAAGCAGCUGACAGAGAGAAGCAGGUGAGUGAUGGCUGGAAGGAGACGCAGCUGACAGAGAGAAGCAGGUGAGUGAUGGCU
ensembl:lncRNA